CCUACGGGAGGCUGCAGUGGGGAAUAUUGGACAAUGGGCGAAAGCCUGAUCCAGCCAUGCCGCGUGUGUGAAGAAGGCCUUCGGGUUGUAAAGCACUUUCAGUGGGGAAGAAAGCCUUGGGGCUAAUACCCUCGAGGAAGGACAUCACCCACAGAAGAAGCACCGGCUAACUCCGUGCCAGCAGCCGCGGUAAUACGGAGGGUGCGAGCGUUAAUCGGAAUUACUGGGCGUAAAGCGCGCGUAGGCGGUCUGAUAAGCCGGUUGUGAAAGCCCCGGGCUCAACCUGGGAACGGCAUCCGGAACUGUCAGGCUAGAGUGCAGGAGAGGAAGGUAGAGUUCCCGGUGUAGCGGUGAAAUGCGUAGAGAUCGGGAGGAAUACCAGUGGCGAAGGCGGCCUUCUGGACUGACACUGACGCUGAGGUGCGAAAGCGUGGGUAGCAAACAGAUUAGAUACCCUGGUAGUC
rnacentral:rRNA from 1 species